rnacentral:rRNA from 1 species
AUUGAACGCUGGCGGCAGGCCUAACACCUGCAAGUCGAACGGCGUGGCGAACGGGUGAGUAAUGUAUCGGACCGUGCCCAGUAGCGGGGGAUAACUACGCGAAAGCAUAGCUAAAACCGCAUACAAUAGGAACGGGCGAUAUCGGAUUAGCAAGUUGGUGAGGUAACGGCUCACCAAGGCGACGAUCCUUAGCUGGUUUGAGAGGAAGACCAGCCACACUGGGACUGAGACACGGCCCAGACUCCUACGGGAGGCAGCAGUGGGGAAUUUUGGACAAUGGGGGCAACCCUGAUCCAGCCAUCCCGCGUGUGCGAUGAAGGCCUUCGGGUUGUAAAGCACUUUUGGCAGGAAAGCGGUACCUGCAGAAUAAGCACCGGCUAACUACGUGCCAGCAGCCGCGGUAAUUC